GCAAUAUGGUGAGACCUCAUUUCUAAAAAAAAAAAAAAAUUUUAAGAGAUAUUUAAAAAACUAUGCCACCUUAAAAGAAUGCUUUGCUUGCAUUUCCACAGACCUCUGUAGACUCUUUAACAUUUCUAAAAAGAUUCAAGACAUAAACAUGAAAAUCAGAUGAGAUAAUUUACAUAAUACCCACAUAUCUGGUUCUGCAGGUUCUGCGGAUUAGGGAUGGGGCUUUAUUAAUUUGAGUAAACUUGAGUCUUGGUUUAGAAAUGAACUACAAACUCUGAUCAUGAUCUAUUCUCCUAGUAUUUGUGUUGCAGUGUUUAAAUAUGUGACCUCCAGAGUCCCAAACGCUAACUUUUGCAAAGCCAUUAUCCUGUCACAUGAUCCACAGCUUACCCAGCAACAGGAAGAGCGACAAACUUCCUUGCAUCUAUAGGCUAUGUUCUCAUAACUGCCUCUAGACCAGCCUGGGUUAUGGUGAGAAUCCAGAAUAACGUCCUGUCUACCCAUGGCCAAAACAGGGGACUGAAGGAGAAAAACCUGACCAGGACUGGAAGAAUAAAAAUCACCUCAAACUGAGAAAGAAAAAAAGCAGCCCUACCUUUAAUCGGGCUGUGAGGAUAGCGACAGCAGGCAGAAAAACACAAAAAGGAGAGACUGGCCUAGCAUCCCA
rnacentral:lncRNA from 1 species